AUUCGAGGCGACGGGCUCCGGGCCCUGAUAGAUGGGGUGCGGGGACGGAGACAAAUGACGGCCUUUAGGCUCGGAAUACCUACCUUUCUGGUAAUGUGGCCCAGCAGGUCCCAGCCUCGUUUUCCAGCCCUUACUCAAAUGGAGUCGCUCUGGUUCGAACACCUCUGACAAGUGUGUGCCUGCGUGUCAGGCCCAUCCUUCCUGCAGGCUUUGUUUUGGUGUCACCCUGCCUGAGCUGGCCCCAACCACAGUAACAACAGUGAUGCUGAUGGGUGACUGCUCCCUGGAGCCUGCUCACGUGACCAUGUAGAGAAAGUUCUUUCUCUGAGGACCAUCUGGAAUGGAUGCGUGCACUAACCCUCUCUGAAUACACCCUCCCCAUGGGGCCCUCUGAAGCAUCCCGUAGAGCCAGCCCCUACCCAGAGACCCUGAGUCCAGAGAAUGCGCUGGGUGGUGAGGCUGGGGACGGAUGCAGAGCCCUAGGUCUCCUCCCCAGAAAGACCGUGUUUUGCCAUGUUGGCCAGGCUGGUCUUGAACUCUUGACCUCAAGUGAUCCACCUGCCCUGGCCUCCCAAAGUGCAGGGAUUAUAUAGGUGUGAGCCACCACACCCAGCCUCAGGAAGGAAUUUUUAACAGCCGAAUCCUCUUCCACUGUGCACUGUUCACGUUCAUCGUCAGUUCCCCUGGAUGGGUGUUUAAGGCAUUUCCAAAGUUCUGAUAUUAAAAACACGGAUGCAGUGAG